ncrna:Ciona savignyi microRNA csa-mir-92a precursor
UAUGCCUAGACCAGACAAAGUGUAUUGCGUUGUUGCAAUCGUAUUGCACUUGUCCCGGUCUAAGCAUU